GGGGGCGAAUCGGUUUCGACCGGGUAAAUUGACGUGUUCGUCGCGUGUCGUGGUUGGUCAGUUGGCCACGUAAAAAGCUGACCGAACCUAAACUGCUGAACCUCAAUUCAGCAUGGCUGCGUAACAACGCAACCCCGUGCCUGUUGGCUUCGCUUGAAAGCCGGCAGCGCGGACGCCAAGUCGAGCUCGCUGCAGCUUGAGGCCGGUCGCAAGAUCGGUCGCUUCGAAGGCGGCUGUGGCUAAACAACCUGUUCGAUAGCGCUCUCGGCAUCCUGCUUGUCGGAGUCCGGUAGCGCGAACGUGGCGGGAAAGCCGUCAAGCAUCGACAAGAUACACACGUAGAAGCGGGCACCGAAGUGCCACGGGACGCGGGUUCGAUUCCCGCCGCCUCCACUC
rnacentral:tmRNA from 1 species